GUACCUGCAGAAUAAGCACCGGCUAACUACGUGCCAGCAGCCGCGGUAAUACGUAGGGUGCAAGCGUUAAUCGGAAUUACUGGGCGUAAAGCGUGCGCAGGCGGUUCGGAAAGAAAGAUGUGAAAUCCCAGAGCUUAACUUUGGAACUGCAUUUUUAACUACCGGGCUAGAGUGUGUCAGAGGGAGGUGGAAUUCCGCGUGUAGCAGUGAAAUGCGUAGAUAUGCGGAGGAACACCGAUGGCGAAGGCAGCCUCCUGGGAUAACACUGACGCUCAUGCACGAAAGCGUGGGGAGCAAACAGGAUUAGAUACCCUGGUAGUCCACGCCCUAAACGAUGUCAACUAGCUGUUGGGGCCUUCGGGCCUUGGUAGCGCAGCUAACGCGUGAAGUUGACCGCCUGGGGAGUACGGUCGCAAGAUUAAAACUCAAAGGAAUUGACGGGGACCCGCACAAGCGGUGGAUGAUGUGGAUUAAUUCGAUGCAACGCGAAAACCUUACCUACCCUUGACAUGUCUGGAAUGCCGAAAGAUUUGGCAGUGCUCGCAGAGAACC
rnacentral:rRNA from 1 species